CUGACUGAUAUCGGAUUGGAGUCAGCGAUGCGAGUCAUAGUAGCACUAUAAGGCAGUCGGCUCAGUAACACGUAGUCAACCUAAGUCGUGGACUCGGAUAACCUCGGGAAACUGAGAUCCAACCACGAUAGAUCAUAGUGCCUGGAAUGGCUUAUGGUCCAAACAGCUUACUGCCAUGAGAUGGGACUGCGGCUUAUCAGCUAGUUCGUGAGGUAAUUGCCCACCAAGGCGAUUACAGGUUCUGGCUCUGAGAGGAGUAGCCCGGAGAUGGGUACUGAGACAAGGAGCCAGGCCGUAUGGGGAGCAGCAGGCGACAAUCCUCAGCAAUGUCAGAAAGCACGAUUGGGUCAGUCCGAGUGGUUCUUGCUAAAGGAACCUUUCGUCAGUCGUAAAACCACAGACGAAUAAGGGGUGGGCAAGUAUCGUGUCCGCCUCCGCGGUAAUACCAGCACCUCGAGUGCUCAGGAGGUUUAUUUGGCCUAAAGCAUCCGUAGCCGCCUUUACAAGUGUCCGGUUAAAUCUAUCUGCUCAACAGAUGGGCGGCCGGGGAUACGAUAUAGCUAGGGAGCGGGAGAGGUAGACGGUCUUCUGUGGGUAGGGCUAAAAUACACUGAUCCAUAGAGGACCACCAGUCGUGAAGCCGGUCUGCCAGAACGCUUUAGACGGUGAGGGAUGAAAGUUGGGGGAGCAAUCCAGAUUAGAUACCCGGGUAGUCCCAGCUGUAAUGGAUGCUAACUCGGUGAUGCAUUGACUUUUGGCCAAUGCAGUGCCGCAGGGAAGCCGUUAAGUUUGCCGCCUGGGAAGUACGGACGCAAGUCUGAAACUUAAAGGAAU
rnacentral:rRNA from 1 species